rnacentral:lncRNA from 10 species
CGCAGCUGGAGUGGACAGGACGGCUUUCGAGAUUUGGCGCGGCCUUUGUCUCUGGCUGCAGUCGUAGCUCCAGGUCUUUUCUUCUCUGUUCUGUGUCUUCUGCUCCUAGAGGCCCAGCUUCUGUGUCCCUGUGACCUGUAGGUAUUGGGAGAUCCACAGCUAAGAUGCCAGGACCCCCUGGGAAGCCUAGAAAAAUGGUUCUGCCUGCAAAGAAGAUUGUGACAUAUUGCUGGUUGCAACACCACGGUGAUGUUACUUUUUGCCUUCUCACUGCCCUCAGAAGGCAUUGUGAUAUGUUGGUGGUCCCAGCUUCAAAGAAAUGUUCUGCCUGUAGAAAAGAUUGUAACAUAAUGCUGGGCCCAACUUCAAGGUGGCAUUACUUUUUUGACUUGGCCUUGCUCUCAGAAGACAUUAUAACAUACUGCUGGGCCCAGAACCAAGGUGAUGUUAAGUCUUCUGACUAAAACCUACCCACAGAAGACAUUGUGACAUAUCUCUGGGCCCAUCAACUAUUUGAUGUGACUCUACUCUUAUCUGAGUUUUUUUAAUAAAAGAGAUUUUGACAUAUCUUUGGGCCCAGCACCUAGGUGAUUUGACUCUCUUCUGCUGUGUGAGCCAUGACCAGAGAUGGAGAGUGACUUAUCGCCUGAACCAGCACACAAAUGAGCAUCUUGACAGAUCGCUGGGCCUUGCACCCAAGUGAUGUGAGUCUCCUCUGCUGCCUUUGUGCUUUCCACAGGGAACAUUGUGACACAUCGCUGGGCAGCACACCCGGGUUAUGUGACUCUCCUGCCUGUGCCCUGCCCAAGAAAUGUGUCUCUCCUCUUCUGCCUGCACCUUGCCAACAGAGAAAAUUGUGACAUAUUACUGAGCCUAGCAACCAGGUGAUGUGUCUCUCCUGCCUGGGCCUGGCUGACAGAAAGCAGUGUGAUAUAUUCCCGGGCCCAGCAAACAGGUAAUGUGACUCUCCUGCCUAGUCCCUGGCCUCCAGGAAGAUUUUGACAUAUUCCUGGCUCCAAAAAACAGGUGACGUGACUCUACUUAUCAUUCCCUAUCCACGGGUGUAAUUGUCACAUUUAUCUUGGCCUAGCUCACAGAUGGCAUAAGUCUCAUACCUUGAACCAGCCAAUAGCAGAGAUCCUGUGUCUCUUAGCAAGGCUUAGGCAAAUAGGUGAGUUCAUGGGCCUCCGCUUUAUAAAGAUUGUAAAUGCCAUUCUCUUGCAUAUUGUGUAAAGGUCUUGAAUGGUACAGAAAGUGUCAUUACAGAGCCUAGCACACAGGUAAGGUUGUGUUUCUCAUAUGCUCACCCUAAAAACCCUUAGUAUUGUCAACCUCCCACAUGGAUGGAACUCACUAAUGAGGUUCUUAAUCUCACAAACACAGUCCAUAGUUGAAAUUGUGACUGUCAUAUGUGAACAUUCAGCCAGAGUUGAAAUGGUGAAACAUUUCUAAACCCAGCUCCUAGGCAGGUAAGGCAUCUUCUUUCUGGACUCAGCCAAUUGGAGACAUGUUGACUCUCAUACCUGGGCUUAGGGCCACAAGUACAAUCAUGGGUCCAUACCAGCAUGAAGGUCUCAGACAAGAUUGCACUCCCAUGCAUACAGUACAAAGCCCUCAAGUAGGACAGAGAAUGUUCUAAUAGACCUCAGGACACAGGUGAGAUUGUGACACUCAUAAGCACACCCAGCCAACAGUAAUGAUUGUCACCCUCCCACAUGAACACAACACAUUGUUGAGAUUCUGAACCCCACAAUAAAAAAAAAGUGCCAAAAGUUGAACAAUUGUCUCAUCGUUUAUUUCAGUCCACAGGUGGGUUAUUGACACUCAGACCAAGAUUCAGUACACCUGAAAGACUGUGACUCCACUAAGAAAACAGUCUGUGAGAGGAAUUGAGGCUCUCGUCCAUGGAUCUAGUCCACUGUUGAGAUUGUGAAUCAUGUACUUAGGCCCAACAUAAAAGAGGUGUUGAUUCUCAUACCUGGAACCUGGACAUGUGCAGGAUUGUUAAUCUCAUUUAUGAACAUUCCUGCAGCUGUGAUUGUGACAUAUGCCUCUGCCCAGCACCUGAGUGAUUGAAUUCUUCUGCCUGGGCUCAGCCCACAGAUUGGAUUGUGAAACAUUGCUGAACCCAGGACCUAACUAAUGUAAAUCUAUUCUCCUGCCUUGGCACUGCCCACUGGGAACCCUGUGACAUAUUGCUGCACCCAACACCCAGGUUAUGUGGCUCUCCUGCCAGUGCCUUGCCCACACGGGCUGUUGUGACAUAUUGCUGGGUCCACACCCAGGUGAUAUAAUUCUCUUGCCUAGGCCCUGCUUACAGAGAGCAUUGUGACAUAUCUUUCUGCUCAUCACACAGUUAAUAAGACAGUUUCUGCCUGGUUUCUCCUUACAGGGUGUAUCAAAACAGAUUGCUAGGCCCAGCACCUAGCUGAUGUGACUCUUUCUAGGUUUUGCCCACAAGGAACAUUGUGACAUAUCACUGGGCCCAACAGCAAGGUGAUGUUGCCCUUUUGCUUUGGCCUUGCUCUCAGAAAGCAUUGUGACAUAUUGCUGAACCCAGCACCAAGGUGAUGUGAGUUGGUAUGCCUGGACCCUGCUAACAAGAGGCAUUGUGACAUACUUCUGGGACCAUCAUCUAUUUGAUGUGACUCUCCUUUUACCUGGGCUUCUGUUGUAAAAGAGAUUGUGACAUAACUCUGGGCCUAACAGCUAGACUUGUCUGCAGCGCAGAUUGCUACAUAUUGCUUGGCCCAGCUCCUAUGUGAUGUGACUCUCCUGUCAUACCUGAGUGCUCCCCACUGCGAUGGGCAACAGACCAACUUCAGCUUGCAACCCUCUGGAGUGCAUUCUGUAACACUGGAACUUCUUUAACCUCCGGACUUUGAAGAAGAAAGCAACCAUUUUCUUUUGCACAAGGGCAUGACAUUUAUACUACACCUUUGCAGGUAGUGUAAGAUCAACCCAGCUUUUUAAAAAGUCAUAUCAGGCAGGCUUAUAGAAAAUGAUUCACCAGAAUUAGAAAAGCAAGUUCCAGGGAAGCCAUUUGAGAAUCCCCCUUAUUUAGAGCCAUCUCAAGUUCUCUUAUUACAAGACCUUAGCCAAAUAAAGGAAGACUUAGGCUGAUUUUCUGACAACCCCCAAUAGGUAUAUAGAAGCUUUCCAAAAUUUGACUCAGGUGUUUCACCUCACAUAGAAGGAUGUUGUGCUGCUCCUAAACCAAACCCUAACUGCAGCUGAAAAGCAGGCAGCUCUACAGGCAGCAGAGAAUUGCAGAAAUGAACAAUAUGUCGCCUAUAAUGCACCAAAAUUUAAAAAGGAGAAAGUGAAGAAAUAACAGAAACACCAUUCCCAAUAGGAAGGGAAGCAGUUCCUCUUUACAACCCUGGUUGGAACUCCAAUAGCUCUGCAGAUAAAUGGAAAAAAAAAAAAACACUUUAAUAUGCAUAUUAGAGGGUUUAUGAAUAGGGACAAAUCUCUUACUCUAAACUGUCCAUGAGGACAAAUCUCUUACUCUAAACUGUCCAUGAUAGACCAAAUGCCAGAAAAGAGUCUUGCAGCCUUUAUGAAAAGGCAGAGAGAGGCACUAAUAGAGCAUAUCUCCUUUUCUUCUGAUCCAAUCAACAAAUAGUGCAUUCUAAAGGACAGGUUUAUUACGCACGAAGCUCUCGAUAUUUUUUUUUUUUUUUUUUUUUUUGAGACGGAGUCUCGCUCUGUGGCUCAGGCUGGAGUGCAGUGGUGCGAUCUCAGCUCACUGCAAGCUCUGCCUCGGGAUUCACGCCAUUCUCCUGCCUCAGCCUCCCGAGUAGCUGGGACUACAGGCGCCCGCCACUGCACCCAGCUAAUUUUUUGUAUUUUUAGUAGAGACAGGGUUUCACCAUGGUCUCCAUCUCCUGACCUCGUGAUCCGCCCGCCUCGGCCUCCCAAAGUGCUGGGAUUACAGGCGUGAGCCACCGCGCCAGGCCAAGCUCUUGAUAUUAAAAAAGAAACUACAAAAGCAGGCUAUAGAAUCAGAUAGCACCUUAGAGAACCUCCUGAAGGUAGCCACUUCAGCCUUUUAUAAUAGGGACCAGGAGAAAACCCAAGAGAAAGCGAGGAAACUCAGGAGAAGGACAAAGGCUCUAGUAGUUGCUUUGCAAGCCUGCAAUGUCCAGGAUUUCCAAGGUUCAUCUGCUCAUUGCUAUCAGUCUGGCAAGUCAGGGUACUUUAAGAAGCAGUGCCCAAGCAUCAAGAAGAAGCCACCUCAACCCUCUGCAGGCUGUGGCAGAGACACUAGAGAGCAAACUGCCCCCAGAGAUGAGGUCACUAGAUUCAGAACCAGUCUCACAGAUCGUUUGGCAGGAAUAAUGGGUCCUAGGGACCCAACCCCCAGCUCCAGCAGCUCAAACUGCCAUUAUAGCCUAGGAUCCCAAGGUGAUUCUGGAAAUUAAAAGAAGGAAGAUAAUCAUCCUUCUAAACAAUAGAGCCAGUCUCCCUCUUUUCUGUUCUCUAAUUCAGGUCUCCCCUCUUCCUGUAGCCACUGCCAUGGUGGCUCUACUACUUAGAAAAGUCUCCAAAUUAACCCUGGAAAUUAUAAUCAUAAUUCUCUUUAAUUAUACUAGAGAAUUUAACUUACACCCCACACAACAUGACACAAUUACUGUCCUCUAGGGGGACCUCUUAGGUAACAAAUAGCCAGUAAAGCAAAAAAUACAUAAGGCAAGAUACUCAGUAGUCACUCUAAACAACGUUAUUAAAAGUGUGUCUCUCUCCCCAGCACAAACGCUCAAUUAGCUGAACUGAUAGCUCUUACAAGAGGACUUGAAUUAAACAAAGGAAAGGUAGCUAACAUUUACACAGACUAAAAGUAUGCUUUCUUGGUUCUUCAUGCUCAUGCUGCCAUUUGGAAGAAAAUACAUUUUCUUACCGCUAAUGGAUCUCUUUUAAAGUAUCACCAGAAAAUUAUUCUCCGUUUUUCUUCCAUGAAAAAUAGCAAUGAUGCAUUGUAAGGGACAUCAAAAGGGAACAGAUGAAGUAGCCGAAGGAAAUACGUUAGCUAAUCAGGCAAUUAAGUCAGCAGCAAGGAAGCCUUGAGGCAUCAACACACUUCAAGCCCCUCUAACCUGGGAAGGCUCCAUAAGAGAAAUUAAGCCUCAGUACUCCCCUGCAGAAAUAGAAUGGGCCACUUUUCGAGGGUAUAUUUUUAGACCUCAGGAUGGCUACAAUCAGAGGAUGGCAAACUCCAUUCGCCAGCCUUCAGCCAAAGGAAAAUCCUUAGAAUCUUUCACCAAGUUUUUCACUUAAGAAAGGAUAAAACUUAUCACUAUGCCCAGAGAUUGUUUUCAGAAGAGAACUUACUAAAAACAGUCAAAUAGGUUGUUAAUUCCUGUGAAGUCUGUCUUAAAAAUAAUCCACUGAACAGGUGGCUCCUUCCUCCUAAAACCCAAAAAAUAAGAAGCUAUCCAGGGGGAGGACUGGCUGAUAGACUUCACCCGCAUGCCAAAGACAAAGGGUAUCCAAUACCUUCUGUUUUGGGUAUAUACUUUUACUAACUGGGUGGAAGCAUUUCCAUGCCAUACAGAAAAGACCUCUGAGGUAAUAAAAGUGUUAAUUAAUAAAAUAACUCCAGCCAGGCGCGGUGGCUCAGGCCUGUAGUCCCAGCACUUUGGGAGGCCGAGGCGAGCGGAUCACGAGUUCAGGAGUUCGAGACCAGCCUGGCCAACAUGGUGAAACUUCGUCACUACUAAAAAUACAAAAAAAUUAGGCAUGGUGGUGCACACCUGUAAUCCUAGCUAUUCAGGAGGCUGAGGCAGGAGAAUUGCUUGAACCUGGGAGGCGGAGGUUGCAGUGAGCUGAGAUCAUGCCACUGCACUCCAGCCUGGGUGACAAAGCGAGACUCUGUUUCAGAAAAAGAUAAACAAACAAAAAAAACCCCUGCUUUGGUCUACCUAAAUACCUUCAAAGUGACAAUGGCCCCUCAUUUAAGGCAGCUGUCACAUGGGAGUCUCAAAUGUGCUAGGCACAGAAUAUGGUCUCCAUUGUGCUUAAAAAUCCCAAUUCUCAGUAAAGGUAUAGAACAAAUGAUAUUAUCAAGAGACACCUUAAAAAACUUGUCACUCUUCUUCCCAUGGCCUUACUAUGGGUAAGAAAUAUGCCUUCCAAGUUAGGUGUAACCUGGGUGCGGUGGCUCAGGCCUGUAAUCCUAGCACUUUGGGAGGCCGAGGCUGGUGGAUCACAAGGUCAGGAGAUCAAGACCAUCCUGGCUAAUACGUUGAAACCCCAUCUCUACUAAAAAUAUAAAAACAAAAUAAGCUGGGUGUGGUGGCGGGCGCCUGUAGUCCCAGUUACUAGGGAGGCUGAGGUGGGAGAAUGGCAUGAACCCAGGAGGCAGAACUUACAGUGAACCGAGAUCGCGGCACUGCACUCCAGCCUGGGAGACAGAGUGGGACUCUGUCUCAAACAAACAAACAAAAACAAAGUUAGGUCUAAGCUCUAUAAAUGGCCUUUUCUUACCAACGAUUUUUCUAUUAAAGCAGAAAACCUAAUUUGGUUAAGUAUGUAACCUCUCUAGCUCACUUCCAACAAAAAUUAACACAACUAGCAGUAGCCCAACCCUAAGAAAUAAGACCACCUUCAUUUAACCCAGGAGAUUUGCUAUCAGUAAAUCUCAUGCCUCUCUCUCUCUUUCCCUAAGCCCAAGCUGGGAAGGGCCCUACACUGUUUUUUUUCAACCCCCUCUUCCCUUGGCAAUAAAAGUUACAGGUAUUUGCUGGGCGUGGUGGCUUAUGACUGUAAUCCCAGCACUUUGGGAGGCCAAGGUGGGCGGAUCACCUGAGGCCAGGAGUUUGAGACAAGCCUGGCCAACAUGGUGAAACCUCAUCUCUACUAAAAAUACAAAAAUUAGCUGGGCUGCAUGGUAUGGGGCUGUGAUUUCAGCUACUCGGGAGGCUGAGGCAGGAGAAUCGUUUGAACCCAGGAGGCUGAGGUUGCAGUGAGCCAAGAUCGCACCACUGCACUUCAGCCUGGGCGACAGAGCAAGACUCCAUCUCAAAAAAAAAAAAAAAAAAAAAAAAAAAAAAAUUACAGAUAUCAACUCUUGGAUACACCACACUCAAGUCAAGUCCUGAAGAGCUGAGGGAGCAACCCCUUACAAGCCCAGAGGAAUGUCCUGAAUAUCAGUGUGAAGAAAUAGAAAAUCUUAAGCUGAAAAUCAUAAAAGAUAAGUAACUUAGGGCUACUCAUCUUGCUCACUACUACGUCAUUGGACACUUUUUGUCAUUUCUAUUUUUCCUCUCCAAGUUUGCCGCCAACUAUUAAAACUUCUCUUUUAACACAUAUUUACAAGAAAAUUUUAAUUAUUCAUAGGAUUGCAUUUGUAACUUCAUAGAACCCCAAAGGGAAAUUCUAUACCUUGGCAAAUAAAAUUUAUAAAUAAAAAUUACUACAUCACUCUUGUGGGAGUUGCUAAAUUCACUCUACUAUUUGUAGUAGAACUAUACACUAUGGAACUCACAGUGUGGAAUUCUAGUUGUAAAAUUCUAAUUGCCAUAAUACUUUGCCUAAUUAUCAUCUUUAUAAGAGGAAUAAUAAUUGAAUAAUUGUAGAAAAAAUUUAGUCAAGGUUGCUUUGCUUAAUUAUUAUCCCUAUAGCAGGGGUAAUAGUUACAGACAAGAAGUAAGCAUGAAAGUUAUACUAUCACUGAGCUUGACAGGACUUUUUAUUAAAGAUUGGCAAUAUGGUGCACUCCAAGCUAUGGAAAGAAGGUUAUAAAAGAGAUUUUAUAAGCAAGGCUUUUAUGGUAAAUUCUUGUCCUAAAAAGACUGGUUGUUUAAAGGAAGGAUAUUUAGGACAAGUCAGAAAGUUUAAGAAUGUUGUAAGAUAAUCUGUGGAAGUCAUGAAAGAACUUAAUAAAGGAAAGAAAUGGCCAAGAUUAACACUUAAGUUACUUUAGCCACUGAAUAAUGUAUUUCUCUUAAUCAUAUCACAAGUUAUAAAAAAUUGCCCGAACCUAAAAUUAUCUCCUGACGGCAAGCCAAGGGGAUAAAUGUAUGUGUUUCUCAAAGAAAAAUGUUACUUUUACAGUAACGUUUCUGGUAGUCUACAGCGACAUCUAGUGGACAUCUACCUGUAUUACAACUAAUUGAAAUAGUAACAGGUAUCAAACUCUGCUGUCAUAGUUAUGGCCUAUAGUACUCUCACUAAUAAUAAUAAUCUUAAUACUCAUGUUAAAACCCUAUAUUCUAAAACUUCUUGUAAAAUUUAUCUUUUUACCUAGAAAAAAACUCCAAAUGGCGCUGCAAACAGAACCACCCAUAGACAUGCCAUUCUUCCGAGAACACUUAAAUAAACCUCAGGAGGAGCCCCAGCUGUUGAUCCCCCACACGACACCCCUUUUCAGCAGGAAGUAGCCAGAAAUAUUCGUCGUCCAACACCCCCAACAGCAGUUAGAAUACUAUCUUCUGAGGGGUGAAUAACAUAGGAGUUUAAAAAAAUAUAUUUUAGGCAGUUAGCAAGGGUAAAAGAGUUCUCGGUGGAAUUUUCCUUCAAUGAAAAGCAGCCAAAAAAC